rnacentral:rRNA from 1 species
AACGUACCCCAAAGUGAGGGAUAAGCACCAGAAAUGGUGUCUAAUACCGCAUGUGCUCUAAGGAGUAAAGCUUCGGCGCUUUGGGAACGGCCUGCGCAUGAUUAGCUUGUUGGUGAGGUAAUAGCUCACCAAGGCGACGAUCAUUAGCUGGUCUGAGAGGAUGACCAGCCAGACUGGGACUGAGAACGGCCCAGACUCCUACGGGAGGCAGCAGUAGGGAAUUUUCCACAAUGGGGGCAACCCUGAUGGAGCAACGCCGCGUGCAG